GAUAAAUGCCCCAUAUAUAUAAAAGUGAAAACAAUACUGUACCAAUGAGGAAGAGAGUUUUGUAAAAGCAAGCAGGCUGGCUGUCAUUAAAAGUUAUCUUAAAUAACUUGUCGCAGCCCACUCCCACCAGUCCCGAAAAUAGUUCAUUCAAGUGGUAAAAUAAGACAAGGCAGAGGACGAUGUCUCUAACUUCCCUGAUGUGAGAUCUAAAGCCCCAUUCCUAACUCUUGGUUUUAGAAUUGAGGAAAGUGGAAUAAAUGCAUUUGGAAAGGAUCUGUUUUCUUCCCAGGUUUCCUGCCUGGGUUGAAAAUAAGGUUUCAGGGGAUGGAAGCAACUUUGAGGAACAUAAAGAGGUAUUGGGGUUCAUCAAUUCAUCUUUGUUUCAAGAUGGUUCCCCCCCACCCUCCACAAUGCAAGUUAAUUAGGAGAUAAUUUAGCUACCUUGUGAAUUAGUUUUAAGAUAAGUAUCUUUUUAAGCUUUGUCACUUUAAUUGCCCCACUGAUUGAUAAGAAGUAAUUAUUUCUAAUUGACACUUUUUUGAUGUCUAUUGGAAGCAUUUAUUUGGAACUUUUUGGGGGUGGAAGGAAAGUUAAUUAAUUUUAUCAGUCUACCCCCAAAAGGACUCUGCCUAAUUUUGUUGAAGAAGACAAAGGAAGUGAAGGAAACCAAAUAAAAAAUCAAUCUCAUGGAAUUUUAAUUACUAAGGGACACUUUGGUUUAAAUUAGAGGGCAUCUACUAAUAUAAUAUGUCAAAACGUUCUAUUUAUGGCCUCAAAUCUCUAAUUUAUUGAGAUGCAUUUUAUAGGUAUUCAUUUUCCUAUGGAUACACUCAACGGCCCUUUAUAUGCUUCCUUCAUUUUGGAGCAGGUUCCUCUGCUGUGUAAAUAAUUUUUGUGAAAAGUAAAAUCUGUCAAACUUGGUAUGCCCAGAAAAAAUGAAAUCAUUUUUGUAAGAGCCAAUUGUAAGAAAGAUUUACUAAUAGUCAUCCUUGUUCUGUAAUUAUUGAUGGAGUUGGGUAUAAAGGUGAAACUUUACUUACAGUGACUUGCCUUUUCAUACCUAAACCUUGGAGUAAACAGUUUAAUCAUUCACAUCCUCCAGAACAUUUUGCUGUGAGAGAGAAAGGAGUGAAAGAAUAAGGAGAAAAAGAAAGACACUGAAAGGAGGCAAUGGGGGUGGAAAGGAAAGAAAGGGAGAAGGUAGCUGGAGAGAAUAAAAUGAAAGCAUUCAUUUCAGAAAUGAAGAUAGCCAGGUGCAUGGAACCUUUGCCAUUCAAUAUAAGAAAAUUGAAAUCCUGCUUUCAAAAUACAUUUUUGUUAACACCAAAUCUCUACCACAGUCUCUAAGCAACCCCUAACCACCAAGGGAUACCCCCAGUUUUCUACCCCUUAAAAAAAAAGAGGAGAAUUUUAGGAAGCUGGCUGAUCCGGAUCUUGGAUAUCUGGCUGUCAAAGUCUUUAUCUGGGGUCCAUGAAAAGGAAGUAAGAAAACGCACAUUGUGCUCUGGGAUUUAUAAAGAGAUUCGAGUGUUGUUUAUGUUUAUUUUAUUAUUAAAGCCCCUGUGAUCUUC
rnacentral:lncRNA from 1 species